rnacentral:rRNA from 1 species
AUGGCAUCAAGUCAAGGACAAUUUCAACUGCGUGAUGAGAUGUCUGAUGGCACACCAAAGCCUUGGGUACCUCAAAAUUCUGCUAAUCGCACUGAACUUUUCGGUGAAACUUCUCAGCCUGUUGUUUCUGUCAAUAAGAUUGAUUCAGAUUCUGGUGGACAGUUUAGCCCUGGAAAGUCUCCUAAUGUUGAGAUCUUGUAUGAAGUCAAGAAAUAUGACAGAUUGAACAACUUCAUCUCUACUUCUGAUAUGAUUUAUAAUGAGAAAAUCAACAGUCAUUCUCCUAGUAAAUCUGCGAGAGCGGUCAAUAUAUAUGGACCAAAGAGGAUUCUAAACCCUAGCAAAUACAAUGCUUCUCCCUAUGUCAAUCAGGAAUCAUCGAGAUACCCUGUUACCACGAGAAUGAUUCAAUUACACGAUGCUAUUGUCACUUUGUCACUUGAUGAAAAUUUCAAAUACAAAACGUGCAUCGACUAUGGCAAGGUUACAGUGACAUACUUUUCUUUUGGUACUUCUUUUGCAACUCAGGGCCUUGUUGACACGAACAUCUACUUUUGA